rnacentral:rRNA from 1 species
GGAUCUCUUGGUUCUGGCAUCGAUGAAGAACGCAGCGAAAUGCGAUGAGUAGUGUGAAUUGCAGAAUUCAGUGAAUCAUCGAAUCUUUGAACGCACAUUGCGCCCCUUGGUAUUCCAUGGAGCAUGCCUGUUCGAACGUCAUUUGUACCCUCAAGCUUUGCUUGGUGUUGGGCGUCUUGUCUCUAGCUUUGCUGGAGACUCGCCUUAAAGUAAUUGGCAGCCGGCCUACUGGUUUCGGAGCGCAGCACAAGUCGCACUCUCUAUCAGCAAAGGUCUAGCAUCCAUUAAGCCUUUUUUUCAACUUUUGACCUCGGAUCAGGUAGGGAUACCCGCUGAACUUAAGCAUAUCAAUAAGCGGAGGA